rnacentral:rRNA from 1 species
AACGAACGCUGGCGGCAGGCUUAACACAUGCAAGUCGAACGCAUCCUUCGGGGUGAGUGGCAGACGGGUGAGUAACGCGUGGGAACGUGCCCUUCAGUUCGGGAUAACCCAGGGAAACUUGGGCUCAUACCGGAUACGUGCGAGAGCAGAAAGAUUUAUCGCUGAAGGAUCGGCCCGCGUCUGAUUAGCUGGUUGGUGGGGUAAUGGCCCAACAAGGCGACGAUCAGUAGCUGGUCUGAGAGGAUGAUCAGCCACAUUGGGACUGAGACACGGCCCAAACUCCUACGGGAGGCAGCAGUGGGGAAUAUUGGACAAUGGGCGCAAGCCUGAUCCAGCCAUGCCGCGUGAGUGAUGAAGGCCUUAGGGUUGUAAAGCUCUUUCGUCCGGGACGAUAAUGACGGUACCGGAAGAAGAAGCCCCGGCUAACUUCGUGCCAGCCGCCGCCGUAA